CCUACGGGUGGCAGCAGUGGGGGAUAUUGGACAAUGGGCGAAAGCCUGAUCCAGCCAUGCCGCGUGUGUGAAGAAGGCCUUCGGGUUGUAAAGCACUUUCAGUGGGGAAGAAAGCCUUGGGGCUAAUACCCUCGAGGAAGGACAUCACCCACAGAAGAAGCACCGGCUAACUCCGUGCCAGCAGCCGCGGUAAUACGGAGGGUGCGAGCGUUAAUCGGAAUUACUGGGCGUAAAGCGCGCGUAGGCGGUCUGAUAAGCCGGUUGUGAAAGCCCCGGGCUCAACCUGGGAACGGCAUCCGGAACUGUCAGGCUAGAGUGCAGGAGAGGAAGGUAGAAUUCCCGGUGUAGCGGUGAAAUGCGUAGAGAUCGGGAGGAAUACCAGUGGCGAAGGCGGCCUUCUGGACUGACACUGACGCUGAGGUGCGAAAGCGUGGGUAGCAAACAGGAUUAGAUACCCCGGUAGUC
rnacentral:rRNA from 1 species